CUUCAGCUAGUUAAGCUGACUCACCCACCUCCCUGAUGGGGACUCAGUGUGCAAUAUCUUUAAAAAGUGGAUUCCCUGGUUGUGUAUGCAGCUGAAUUCUUUAAUGUAUCACUAAGUAACAUUGGGGGCAUCU
rnacentral:snoRNA from 1 species